rnacentral:rRNA from 1 species
GACGAACGCUGGCGGCGUGCUUAACACAUGCAAGUCGAACGGAAAGGCCCUGCUUUUGUGGGGUGCUCGAGUGGCGAACGGGUGAGUAACACGUGAGUAACCUGCCCCUGACUUUGGGAUAACUUCAGGAAACUGGGGCUAAUACCGGAUAGGAUCUCCUGCUGCGUGGUGGGGGUUGGAAAGUUUCGGCGUUUGGGGAUGGACUCGAGGGUUAUCAGCUUGUUGGUGGGGUAGUGGCUUACCAAGGCUUUGACGGGUAGGCGGCCUGAGAGGGUGACCGGCCACAUUGGGACUGAGAUACGGCCCAGACUCCUACGGGAGGCAGCAGUGGGGAAUAUUGCACAAUGGGCGGAAGCCUGAUGCAGCAACGCCGCGUGCGGGAUGACGGCCUUCGGGUUGUAAACCGCUUUCGCCUGUGACGAAGCGUGAGUGACGGUAAUGGGUAAAGAAGCACCGGCUAACUACGUG